CUAGCUGUUGUGAGAUUCAGUAUACAGAUCCUGACAUCAACAAGGAAGAAGCCGACGCGGGUGAUGCUGAUGACAAUGAGAUUACUCACAUUGCUUCUAGCUCACGGAUGAUUUAGGAGUGAUUGUGACCGGAAAUAGAUAUCUCUUUUGAUGUGUUUCCUCUCUAUCAAACUUGUUUCCUCUCUUGCUAGUUAUCUCUUUCGGUUUGUUUCGUCUCUAUCAGAACUUGUUUCCUUUUCUUUCCUUUUGGUACUACUGUAAAAUCUUGUUGCUACAACUCGAAGUUGCCACAAGUGUAAUCUUGUUUCUUAUCUUAUAUGCUUCUCUUAUGUUA